AAGUCGUAACAAGGUAACCGUAGGUGAACCUGCGGUUGGAUCAUUAACAAAUUGAACAGAACUUUGCUUUGAUUUUUAUCAAGCAAUUUUCUCAACCUUAUGUGAACUGUUUAUUGUCUCUUGGUAGGUUUAAAAUUCUUGGAGGAACGUGGUGUUACUACGUUUUUUUUGAGGAUUACUCUACCAAAUUUAUAUUGUAAACUUUAUAUGUAAUAAAUUUUGUCUAAAAACUUUAAAUUAUUUUAAUUUAAAAAACAACUUUUGACAACGGAUCUCUAGGCUCUC
rnacentral:misc_RNA from 1 species